rnacentral:rRNA from 1 species
CCUGCCCAAGAGACUGGGAUAACACCUGGAAACAGAUGCUAAUACCGGAUAACAACACUAGACGCAUGUCUAGAGUUUAAAAGAUGGUUCUGCUAUCACUCUUGGAUGGACCUGCGGUGCAUUAGCUAGUUGGUAAGGUAACGGCUUACCAAGGCAAUGAUGCAUAGCCGAGUUGAGAGACUGAUCGGCCACAUUGGGACUGAGACACGGCCCAA